AUGGAUGAUGAGGCGCAGGAGACUCCAAAUGUUGGUGCUCUUCCCAGGAAGGCCCCCAAGGUGAUGAAUUGGACUCCGCCUAUGUCUGCGUUGAUGUUGAAAGGCCUUUCAGAGGUGGCGGCAAGAGGUGCCAAGACUGACAAAGGGUUCAAUGAGGUAAGUGUCUUCAGAGAACAAAUUCUGCAACUUGCUGGGAUUGCUUGUCAUGAAGAGGAGGGAAAAUCACGGACAGAGCUACUGGAGAAGCUCAAAACAUGUAACAAGGUUAUGCUAGUUGAACUGUGCCGUUCAUUUGAUGUCCCUGGUUCAACAAGCACUAAGAAGGAUGAAUUAGUGACAAUACUGAUGGAGUUCUUGAUGGAACACUGUUCUGGUAUUAUUUACACAGAUCCUGAUAAGGCUCAACUUCUUAGCGGCCAGAAACUUAAGAAAAGAAAGCGCAACAAGAAUGGAGCGAAUCUAUCUGGUGGGGAACCUUCCAAGAAAAGGAAACCAGAUGGAACUCUACUGGAAUUUUGUAGUCAAGAGGAAGCAGAUGGGAGAAAAGCUGUAGAAGAUAGAACAAACCAUUCCGAGUUCUGCUUGAGGGAUAGCAGAGAUGAGCUGGUAAAUGACUCCGCGUUGGGGAAAUUAGCUGUAGUUCCGCUCCCAGGAGUACUGAUUCCUACAGAUGAACAAACGCUAAUCACAACACCAUCUGCAAAGUUAUUUAGCAAUGUUGAGAACGAUACCACGGAUAUGGCAGCUUCAAUGAAGAAAAACAUUUCUGUUACCAAGAAAAAGGCAAUCCAAAACACAGAUUCCAAGGAGAAAUCUGGUGGUAAAAUUAUGUCUAGAGGAGAUGCGAAACCAUGGAAGCAGGCACCGAAACCAAGUAAGGAUGAGCUGAGACAAGCUGUCUUCUGUAUAUUGGGUGCUGCAAAUUUUGCCACGAUGACUUUUGGAGAGGUUGUAAAAGCAGUUGACAAAUACUUUGGCAAGGAUUUGUUUGAGAGAAAGCCACUGGUAAGGGCCUUGAUAGAGGAGGAGCUGUUUAGGCUAGCCAAGGAGGCUGAGAGGAAGGAAGUGGAAGAGGAGGAAGCAAUGGAAGCAAAAGUAAGAGCUGAACAAGCUGCCAAGGACAGCAGCGCAAGGGAUGGAAGAGUUGAAUCAGAGAUAGACAAGGAAUAUGAAGUUGAAGGUGGUCCAGAUGGUAAAUCUAAGGAUGCUGAAAAGACUGGCAACAGCAAUGGUAGUGAAGAAGGUGGUAAAAGUGGGAUUUGUGUGAAGGCUGGUGAGAAGGCCGCUGAAAAUUUACAAGAUGGGAAGGCAGAAGUUGACACAAGGAAGAAAGAAUUUAGCGAGGAUUGCGAGGCUGAAAAGAUUGUGCAGAAUGCAAAUGGCGAUGGUGGCACGGAAAUAUUGAGAGAUGGUAAAGCUGAAACUGUGAAUAAUAAUUGCAACGGUAACACCAUAGGAGGUUCUGAAGAUGUCAAAUCUGGAGAAAAAGACGGCAGAUCUGAAGAAGGCAGGGCUGAAAAUGCUGGUGACUGUGAAGCUGAAGAAUCUGAAACCUGUCCAGAAGCAGAAGCAGAAGCAGAAGAUGUCAAAUCUAAGGAAGCCAGUGGAAAUGAGAUUAGCCUUAACCCCAACUGA
rnacentral:rRNA from 1 species